rnacentral:lncRNA from 1 species
AGGAGCUCACGCAUAUAUAGGCCUCAAGUUGGAGCUCAAAGUCAGUCUCAGUAUUGCUGACACUUCUAGUGCAUCGUCAAGACAAUGAUGAACCGCGGCGUUCUCCUUCUCCUGCUGGUGACACUGGCCCUCUCAGCCGUGGCACUGGCUAGCCCUCUACCCGACGCCAGUGCCAAGGCUCACUGGCCAUUUUAUGGAGGCUAUGGACACGGAUAUGGGCACGGAUAUGGGCAUGGAUACGGCCACGGCUACCAUCACCACCAUCAUUGGUAGGAGGUAAGGAUGGAAAAGGAUCAUCCGACGCCCUCGUCUCUACACCAGAUCCGUUGUUGAUGGCGGGACGUCGCCUUCAGAAACUCCUCCUCCCUUUCCUUCGCAACUGGACGGACAUCUCGACCAAGGGAACCGGACGCCUAGUGUUAACUUUCUGAGAAUUCUUACUCUCUUGUCUUCAGUCUGGACAGAAAAAAACAUGUCAAUUACGUGUUAAGUCAUAAAUUUCGUGUGUAAUGUGUUAUUUCUUUGCUUCCUAAAUCUGGCUGAUAAAGGUUAAGAAAUAUUA